rnacentral:rRNA from 1 species
AUGUCGUUUUUCGACGGCAUCCUUGUUUUCAGUCGCACACUAGCUCUACACAUCCAACAUUUACGGCAGGUCUUGUCCCUCCUACGAAAAGAUCAAUGGUAUGUCAAGCGAUCCAAGUGUGUGUUAACCCAACAAGGAAUCAAGUACCUGGGCCACACUAUUUCUGCACAAGGGGUCUCCAUCGACAACAACAAAGUUCAAUAGGUGGUUGAUUGGCCGGUGCCAGCGUGUGUCAAGGAUGUUUGA